GCCCUACGGGGGGCAGCAGUGAGGAAUAUUGGUCAAUGGGAGAGAUCCUGAACCAGCCAAGCCGCGUGAGGGAAGACGGCCCUAUGGGUUGUAAACCCCUUUUGUCGGAGAACAAAACCCGGGACGUGUACCGGACUGCGUGUAUCCGAAGAAAAAGCAUCGGCUAACUACGUGCCAGCAGCCGCGGUAAUACGGGGGAUGCGAGCGUUAUCCGGAUGUAUUGGGUUUAGAGGGUGCGUAGGCGGGACGGUAAGUCAGCGGUAAAAAUGAGGAGCUCAACUACGUCGAGCCG
rnacentral:rRNA from 1 species